CUACAUUUCUAAAGAUUAAAAUAUGUACAUUUCUAAAAAUAUUUAGAAACAGAGGCAUUUAUCAUUAAGAUAAUUCUUACAAAAUCUUGGAAACAGUAAUAUUACAGUUAUUAGGGGAAGCAUCAAGGCCUUCCCUAAUGUGCAUGGAUGCAUUGUAUGCUUUUCUCCCAAUCAGGGCACCUCAGUUUCCCAUGCUUUCUAAAAAUAAUUAGAUUAAUAUUUUAUUUCAAGCAUGCUUUGGGUAUUUGUGAUUCACCAACUUGCUUAAUUUUUAAAAAAUAAACACUCAAAACAAAUUUCUAAAAUACUGUAUCAUCUGGAGAGAUGGGCUAGAGGUAAAGAGCACUGGCUGUUCCUCCAGAGAACUGGGUGUGGUUCUCAUCAUGCACAUGGGAGUCUAUGAGUGUCUCUAACACCAGGGGAUCCGAAGCCUUCUGGCCCCUACAGACUCCGGGUAUGUACAUGGUAUACACAUAUACAUAUACAUAAAAUAAUAAUAAUAAUAAUUCUUAGAAAACUACCAUUUCAAAGGUAACUAUUUCCUAUAGCCGUUAUUUAUUUAUUAACCAAUGUAAAAGAAUUACACAGUAAGAUGAUGAGACUGGAAACUAGGAUACUCAAUCUCCCAUUCAUCCCUUCUUUUUUGGGGAGGUAGUGGAAGACUUUAAAACAAUCCUGAAGCCAUUUUUGACAAUUCUGAAUCCUCUCAGCCUCCGUGCCAUAGUGCUUCCCCUCCUCCCCUGGGAACCAAGGACCUAACAGCUACACUCGCACGUACUCAGUUCCUGAACAAUUACCCAUAUACGUAAGUUUUGGUUCGGUCCCCUGGGAAACGGGGUCAAAAUGACCUCUUACCUCAUCUGAUCUGGCAAGAGCUCUCCGGUCAAUUAUUGGUAAUAGCCUUUUCAAAUAAGCCAAUCAGAAUAGUCAAAGAACAACCCCACUUGCUUCUGUGGCCCCUUUAAAAGUAGACUGUACCAGCUAUUCGAGGUCUCUCGGCUUCCCGAAUGCUGGGGGACCCUGUCAUGACAGAAUUAAUAAAAUUCUCAUGCUUUUGCAUCGGCUGUGGUGUAUGAGAUGGUCUCUGGGGGCGACUCCUCCUCGGUGUUUGGACGCUAGAGUCCAACAGUAGCCCAACAAACGGCAUGCUAAUCCCACUGAAAUAGUGACAUGGAGAACACUAUAACCAGCCUGCACAGACACAAGUACGGCUCACCUCAUGGGUUGGUCAAUGGACUGACUGAAAUCGGAAGACAUCUCUGACUGAAGAUAACGCUGUCACUUCAAAGAUACCAAAUGAAACAGGUACACGCUUGGAACCACAUCAAACACUCACGAAGCACGCUAGACACAAAAUAAGCUGCCCAACAUAAAUCAGAGCAAAUGCUGCAAAGUCCCAAGUGAAAGGAGGAACUGGAGUAAACACUGUCAGAAGCGGGCUUUCUAAGGCGCAAUGGAGACGUGCGGAAGGAAGAAGGGGCUCAC